CAAAAACAUUUCUUUAAGGUUAUUAAAGUAGGGCCUGCUCACUGUUUGGGAAUAAAGAGCCGCGGUAUUUUGACUGUGCUAAGGUAGCAUAAUGAUUUGUUCUUUAAAUGGGAUCUGGGAUGAAUGGUUUAACAAAACAAAAGCUUUUUUUUACUAAAUUUUUGAAUUUAGCAUUGAAGUGAAAAGACUUUAAUUUCCUAAAAAGAAGAGAAGACCCCUAGAGUUUUAUUUAGCUAGUCUAGCCUAGAGGGGGUGUAACAUUUGUGGUUGGCUUAAAAAAUUUGGCUGGGGCGGCCUCUAAGUAUGAUUAACCUUAGAUGAUUGAAAUUUUUGAGGAUUAAUGACCCACUUUAAUAUGUGAUCAGAAGUAAAAUUACCUUGGGGAUAACAGCGUAAUCCCUUUUGAGAGGUCUUAUUGAUAGAGGGGUUUGCGACCUCGAUGUUGGAUUAAGAAAAGGCAGUGGAGCAAAAGCGGGUGAUCUAAGUCUGUUCGACUUUUAAUUUCUUACGUGAUCUGAGU
rnacentral:rRNA from 1 species